rnacentral:rRNA from 1 species
ACGAACGCUGGCGGCGUGCUUAACACAUGCCAGUCGAACGGAAAGGCCCUGCUUUUGUGGGGUGCUCGAGUGGCGAACGGGUGAGUAACACGUGAGUAACCUGCCCUUGACUUUGGGAUAACUUCAGGAAACUGGGGCUAAUACCGGAUAGGAGCUCCUGCUGCAUGGGGGGGGUUGGAAAGUUUCGGCGGUUGGGGAUGGACUCGCGGCUUAUCAGCUUGUUGGUGGGGUAGUGGCUUACCAAGGCUUUGACGGGUAGCCGGCCUGAGAGGGUGACCGGCCACAUUGGGACUGAGAUACGGCCCAGACUCCUACGGGAGGCAGCAGUGGGGAAUAUUGCACAAUGGGCGGAAGCCUGAUGCAGCAACGCCGCGUGCGGGAUGACGGCCUUCGGGUUGUAAACCGCUUUCGCCUGUGACGAAGCGUGAGUGACGGUAAUGGGUAAAGAAGCACCGGCUAACUACGUG